rnacentral:rRNA from 1 species
GCAGUGGGGAAUAUUGGACAAUGGGCGAAAGCCUGAUCCAGCCAUGCCGCGUGUGUGAAGAAGGUCUUCGGAUUGUAAAGCACUUUAAGUUGGGAGGAAGGGCAGCUAAUUAAUACUUCGCUGUUUUGACGUUACCGACAGAAUAAGCACCGGCUAACUCUGUGCCAGCAGCCGCGGUAAUACAGAGGGUGCAAGCGUUAAUCGGAAUUACUGGGCGUAAAGCGCGCGUAGGUGGUUUGUUAAGUUGAAUGUGAAAUCCCCGGGCUCAACCUGGGAACUGCAUCCAAAACUGGCAAGCUAGAGUAUGGUAGAGGGUGGUGGAAUUUCCUGUGUAGCGGUGAAAUGCGUAGAUAUAGGAAGGAACACCAGUGGCGAAGGCGACCACCUGGACUGAUACUGACACUGAGGUGCGAAAGCGUGGGGAGCAAACAGGAUUAGA